AUCCAGCUGGUAAGUCCUAAAUAGGACGAAACGCGCGUCAAACUGGAU
rfam:Schistosoma mansoni strain Puerto Rico chromosome 2, complete genome